UACGUAGGGGGCAAGCGUUGUCCGGAUUUAUUGGGCGUAAAGCGCGCGCAGGCGGUCUCUUAAGUCUGAUGUGAAAUCUCGCGGCUCAACCGUGAGCGGUCAUUGGAAACUGGGAGACUUGAGUGCAGAAGAGAAGAGCGGAAUUCCACGUGUAGCGGUGAAAUGCGUAGAGAUGUGGGGGAACACCAGUGGCGAAGGCGGCUCUUUGGUCUGUAACUGACGCUGAGGCGCGAAAGCGUGGGGAGCGAACAGG
rnacentral:rRNA from 1 species